rnacentral:rRNA from 1 species
CAACGUAAAGAACCUGCCUCAUAGACUGGGAUAACUAUUGGAAACGAUAGCUAAUACCGGAUAACAGCAUUAACUGCAUGGUUGAUGUUUAAAAGUUGGUUUUGCUAACACUAUGAGAUGGCUUUGCGGUGCAUUAGCUAGUUGGUGGGGUAAAGGCCUACCAAGGCGACGAUGCAUAGCCGACCUGAGAGGGUGAUCGGCCACACUGGGACUGAGACACGGCCCAG